AGUUUGCAUUUGGUUGACCUGAUGUGACUACUUUGACAUUUGGGGUAAAGGAACAAGUGUCGUAGUCACCUCAGCUGUUAAAAGAGCCCCAACUGUCUUCCCACUGUCUCCUUGUAACCAAGACACUCCCCAAGUUUCCAUCGGUUGUCUCGUCAAAGGCUACUUUCCUGAACCAGCCACAGUGCAAUGGAAUUCAGGCGCCAUCACCAGUGGAAUCCACAACUUCCCUCCACUUUUGCUUGGCUCUGACCACUAUACUCACAGCAGCCUGCUCACCAUCCCCGUCAGCCAGUGGAAAUCUGAGUCAUUCCAGUGCAACGUCUACCAUGCAGCCACCGACACCAGAAUUAACAAAAAAAUUGACCGUGCUGCAACCCGUAGUCCUGUGGGCCCUGAGAUCCAUAUGUCCCACUCUUCAUGCGAUUCCAGAGAUGGUCCCAUACAACUGUGGUGCCAGAUUUCAGGCUUCUACCCCAAACAGUUGGACAUUGACUGGAAGGUGGGCAGUCGCUCUGGAUUGCUACGUCCAUACAAUUAUCCUCCUUGGCAGAAUCCCGGCACAUAUACUUUCAGUACCGCCAGCGUAGUCAACAUCACCCAAGAUGACUGGCUGGAAGGAAAUGUUUAUUACUGUGAAGUAACCCAUGCAGCAUCACAAACCAAGGUGAAAGGCAAACUCAAAAAAUGUGAAGGUGGAAGCAGUUGUCCCUCUGGAGAUGCUAAUGUAUAUCUUCUGCCCCCAAGACCAAAAGCCUUGUACAUUGAUAGAAAUAGCAAGAUCACCUGUGUUGUGAACAAUCUGCAAAAUGAACAGGGGUUGAAAAUUACCUGGUCUCGGGAGAAAAAUGGACACCUGAAUGCUGAUGUAAUAGAAACAGUAGAAGAACCAAAUGGUACCUACACUGCUGUCGGUCGCCUCAAUGUCAUCGCUCAAGAUUGGGAAUCAGGAGAAAGUUUUACCUGUAGGGUUGAACAUCCUUCCUUUGUUAGUCCUGUCACAGAGAGCAUUUUCAAGACCAGAGGCAACAAGAAGGCACCCAAGGUCUAUGUCUACCCUCCUCACCGAGAUGAGCUCAAUCCAGGCAGAACGGUGUCUCUUAUCUGCAUGGUAAAUGAUUUUAUUCCAAUUGAGGCUGAUAUCCAGUGGCUACAGAAUCACAAUCCUGUGUCAGAAGACAAAUAUGUGACUACUCCAGCUAUGAAGAAUAAGCAUAAUGAUUCCUUCUUUGCCGUCAGCAAACUUUCUGUCCCCAGGCAAGAUUGGAAUAAUGAUUUGUUCACUUGUAUGGUGAUCCAUGAAGACCUCCCCAUGAAGUUCACCCAGAGGAACAUCUCAAAAACCCAGGGUAAAAAAUGAACCAGCUGCUCCGUUUCAAUCCAUCCUAGAUUUGCCUCUAACACUGUGAGACCAAACUGUUAAUAAUUUCCCUGCUCACCCAUUUCUCAUCUGGAUGAAUAAAAGCAAACCAUCUCAAAAAUACCCCAGGUU